UUUUGGACAAUGGCCGAAAGCCUGAAGCAGCCACGCCGGGUGAGUGCCAAAGGCCUUCGGGUUGUAAAGGUCUGUUCUCAGGGAAAAAGCAAGUGAUUGUACCGUAAGAAUAAGGACCGGCUAACUUCGUGCCAGCAGCCGCGGUAAUACGAAGGGUCCAAGCGUUGUUCGGAAUUAUUGGGCGUAAAGCGGGUGUAGGCGGCUAUAUAAGUCAGAAGUGAAAGCCCCGGGCUUAACCCGGGAAGUGCAUUUGAUACUGCAGAGCUUGAAUGUGGUAGAGGGUAAUGGAAUUCCGGGUGUAGCGGUGAAAUACGUAGAUAUGUGGAGGAACACCGGUGGCGAAGGCGAGUUACCUGCCCAUGCAUUGACACUGCAUGCACGA
rnacentral:rRNA from 1 species